rnacentral:rRNA from 1 species
CGAGUCUGCCUUGAAGAUCGGAGUGCUUGCACUCUGUGAAACAAGAUACAGGCUAGCGGCGGACGGGUGAGUAACACGUGGGUAACCUGCCCAAGAGAUCGGGAUAACACCUGGAAACAGAUGCUAAUACCGGAUAACAACAGAUGAUGCUUAUCAACUGUUUAAAAGAUGGUUCUGCUAUCACUCUUGGAUGGACCUGCGGUGCAUUAGCUAGUUGGUAGGGGUAACGGCCUACCAAGGCGAUGAUGCAUAGCCGAGUUGAGAGACUGAUCGGCCACAUUGGGACUGAGACACGGCCCAAACUCCUACGGGAGGCAGCAGUAGGGAAUCUUCCACAAUGGACGCAAGUCUGAUGGAGCAACGCCGCGUGAGUGAAGAAGGGUUUCGGCUCGUAAAGCUCUGUUGUUGGUGCA